CUACGGGCUGCACCAGUUAGGGAACUUUUACAAUGCACGCAAGUGUGAUAAAGCAAGCCAGAGUGUUUUUCAUAAUUGAGAAACUUUUGUCUGUUGUAAAAAGACAGACGAAUAAGGACUGGGAGAGACCGGUGCCAGCCGCCGCGGUAAUAACGGCGGUCCAAGUUGCAACCAUGAUUAUUGGGUCUAAAACAUCCGUAGCUUAUUUAGUAAGUUUCUUGUGAAAUCUUGUCUCUUAAGGGCAAGGCGAGCAAGAAAUACUGCUAAGUUAGAGACUGGAAGGAGUGAGAAGUACGAUUAAGGUAAUGGUAAAAUAUGUUAAUCUUGAUUGGACUAACAAUAGCGAAGGCAUCUCACUAGUACAGAUCUGACAGUGAGGGAUGAAGGCCAGGGUCGCAAAACGGAUUAGAUACCCGGGUAGUC
rnacentral:rRNA from 1 species